rnacentral:rRNA from 1 species
GAUGAACGCUGGCGGCGUGCCUAAUACAUGCAAGUCGAGCGAACAGACGAGGAGCUUGCUUCUCUGACGUUAGCGGCGGACGGGUGAGUAACACGUGGAUAACCUACCUAUAAGACUGGGAUAACUUCGGGAAACCGGAGCUAAUACCGGAUAAUAUUUUGAACCGCAUGGUUCAAUAGUGAAAGACGGUCUUGCUGUCACUUAUAGAUGGAUCCGCGCUGCAUUAGCUAGUUGGUAAGGUAACGGCUUACCAAGGCAACGAUGCGUAGCCGACCUGAGAGGGUGAUCGGCCACACUGGAACUGAGACACGGUCCAGACUCCUACGGGAGGCAGCAGUAGGGAAUCUUCCGCAAUGGGCGAAAGCUUGACGGAGCAACGCCGCGUGAGUGAUGAAGGUCUUCGGAUCGUAAAACUCUGUUAUUAGGGAAGAACAAAUGUGUAAGUAACUAUGCACGUCUUGACGGUACCUAAUCAGAAAGCCACGGCUAACUACGUG